UACGAACUGUGCGAACGUUAUUCGGAAUCACUGGGCUUAAAGGGUGCGUAGGCGGCGGCACAAGUCAGGUGUGAAAUCCCCCGGCUCAACCGGGGAACAGCGCUUGAAACUAGGUCGCUCGAGUGAGGCAGGGGUGUAUGGAACUUCCGGUGGAGCGGUGAAAUGUGUAGAGAUCGGAAGGAACGCCGGCGGCGAAAGCGGUACACUGGGCCUUGUCUGACGCUGAGGCACGAAAGCUAGGGGAGUGAACGGG
rnacentral:rRNA from 2 species